GGUGGAGCUUGGAGUCGGAUUCAGACACCCUCCCUGCCACCCCAGGCACCCAGGACGUACUAGAUGGAGCCACAGUGACUCCUGGGACGCACCUGCCAGCUGCAGAUUCCAGCUGUGCUAUUUGCCUUCCGGGGACAUCCCGCACUCAACCCACCCUCGGUGACCACCAAGUUCCCCCAGGCAAGAAGUUACCCAUCUCAGAAGAAGCCUAGAAAUUGAGAGCUUUGAGUCCUCCGAUAUUAACAAGUCAGAGAAUCUGUGAAGAGAUUGAGAAGAAUUAGAAGCAGUCAAGAGAUUCCUGGACCCCACACUUGGAGAUUCAAACUUAGAGAAUCAAAUGAGAGUUCUGGAAAUUGGCUGAG